UAGGGAAUCUUCGGCAAUGGGGGCAACCCUGACCGAGCAACGCCGCGUGAGUGAAGAAGGUUUUCGGAUCGUAAAGCUCUGUUGUAAGAGAAGAACGUGUGUGAGAGUGGAAAUUUCACACAGUGACGGUAACUUACCAGAAAGGGACGGCUAACUACGUGCCAGCAGCCGCGGUAAUACGUAGGUCCCGAGCGUUGUCCGGAUUUAUUGGGCGUAAAGCGAGCGCAGGCGGUUUAAUAAGUCUGAAGUUAAAGGCAGUGGCUUAACCAUUGUUCGCUUUGGAAACUGUUAAACUUGAGUGCAGAAGGGGAGAGUGGAAUUCCAUGUGUAGCGGAGAAAUGCGUAGAUAUAUGGAGGAACACCGGUGGCGAAAGCGGCUCUCUGGUCUGUAACUGACGCUGAGGCUCGAAAGCGUGGGGAGCAAACAGG
rnacentral:rRNA from 1 species